CAAUAUUUGGAAAUCGGCUGAUGAAAUUGAAUCAGAAAACUUGCGAAAACAAUACAUGACACUGUGAUGAAAUCGUUAGAAAAAGGGAAGAAAAAGUAGUGACCGGAGAGGCAGAAAACUACUUUCUGGGAUUACUUGUAAAUGCCUAUCAUGAAUCGGACGAGAAAACAGGCUUUCGGAACAAGAUUUGGUAGAUGAAUGUAAAACUUUCUAUUUCGCCGGGCAUGAAACAACUAAUUCCUUGCUUGCAUGGACAUUCCUCCUCCUAGCAACCCACACAGAUGGCAAGACAAAGCACGAAAAGAGGUGUUGGAGGUAUUCGGUAAUCGAAACCGGAUUCGGAAGGGAUCGCCAAACUAAAAACUAUUACCAUGAUUAUCAAUGAAACUAAGACUUUACCCUUCUGUAAACGGAACUACGAAAAGUCGGAAGAGAAGUCCGAUUGGGAAAACUUGCCCUACCUACUCCUUUAGAGCUCGACAUCCGUAUCAUAGCACUUCACCAUGACCCUGACUUAUGGGGAAACGAUGUUCAUCUUUUCAAACCGGAGAGAUUCGCCGAAGGGAUUGCCAAGCUACAACUUCAAUGCAGCAGCUUUUCUUCCCUUCGGGUUGGGACCUCGAUCUUGCGUUGGAAUGAGCUUUGCAAUUACUGAAACAAAAUCGCUCUCUCCAUGAUUCUGCACGCUACAGUUUCACAUCUCCCUGCAUAUGUUCACUCACCAGUGCCCGUCUUGUACUCAAGCCAGAACAUGGACUUCAGUUGUUGUUUCAUUCACUACAUGGUGAUGCGUGAAACAAUCGGCUGCUGAUCUCCCAAAGAAUUAGCAUGUAAUAUAAUUAUCAAUAAACAAAAUGGUGUAGGAAC